GCCGUAUUCCCCUUUGGUCCUGUGCUGUACAGAUAGAAAGAGGGAGAACAUGCUGCUGUUUUGCCAUUUGAUAUUUUGUCAUUUGAUAUUUUCUUUGGUUUACUUUAUGCUGUUUUUCUCAGUUGUUUUGUUUGCUGUGUUCAACUUGCCUGGUUUUUAUAAUCUUAACCCUGUUUUUAGUGAUUUGUGCUUACCUUGGUUUUAUCGUUUUCUUCAAUAAAACCUUUUUCUUAAUUACUACAAACGUCUCUGCCUAAUCCACAGUAACUUAUUUGGGUGUCUAGGGUAUCUAAAUCUGUAUUUAUUGGGCUGUAAGUCCCCACGUGGAGUUGUUGGUUGCUUUCCCUAAAGCCCCGUCACAUAAACAAGUUUUGAUAUCUCGUAUCGAAAAAAACUUUUUCUGAUAUUUUCCUCUACACUGAUUUAAUCAGUUCAUUCUGUGCACCUGCUAGUCACCUCCACCUCGUCAGCCCUUAUCGAGAUUACUACCUGUUUGGAUCACUGCAUCCAGGUCAGACGAUCGGCAAGACAUCUGGAUCAGUCCAGCAAGGGGGAACCAUUUUGCUUACAAUUGCUCAUUAAAUCGUGCUCGCCAGUAAAGGACGAAGUACUAGUGAGCCGAACAGUUUCUCAACCCCCUGCCUGACAACGACCCCUUUUCCACGCUUAGGCUACUAUUCCCCAGGGGACCCCAUACAAUUUCCACUCUCCUGGAUUCGAGAGCAGAUACGUCCAUAAUGAACAAGGACCUUGUUUAACAACUGGGGAUUGCCCAGAUACCUCUCCCCCAGGCUGUUCCAGCCAGCGCCCUGGACGGUCACCUUCUGGGAGCAAUGACGCACAACACUGUUCCGGUCCACAUGCUGCUGUCAGAAAACCACCACGAGACCAUCAGCUUCCACAUUCUGCAGACCUGGUGCACCCCCCUUAUUCUGGGAUACGCCUAGCUAACGCUGACACAAUCCUCACAUCGACUGGACUAUGGGGGCUUUUGGGGGCUGGAGCCAGUACGGCCAUCUAGUCUGCCUGAAGCAAGCCACCGUUCCACAAGGUGCCACAUAAUGGCAUUCUUAAACUACGCUGCAAUUUUAUCUUUUUAAUGACUGUUAUUCUUUGUGUUUCUAUCAAUGUUCUUAACUUUUUGUAAAUCUCCUUGCUUUGUGUUUGUAUGUUUUUUAUGGUUUUAUGUAAAGCACUUGGAAAUGCAUUGUUGUUGAAAUGUGCUAUACAAAUAAAAUUGCCUUGCCUAAAAUGAUUUUGCCUUUUCUCCAAUGCAGAGGUUUUCCGAUUA
ensembl:lncRNA